UAGCCCAGACGGUAAAGCGUCUGCCUGCAAUGCAGGAGACCCAGGUUCAAUUCCUAG
rnacentral:tRNA from 1 species